UGCCAGCCGCCGCGGUAAUACGGAGGGGGCGAGCGUUGUUCGGAUUUACUGGGCGUAAAGGGUCCGUAGGUGGUUUUAUAAGUUAGGUGUGAAAGCCCGGAGCUCAACUCCGGAACUGCACUUAAAACUGUAAAACUAGAAUCAUGGAGAGGAUAGUGGAAUUUCCAGUGUAGAGGUGAAAUUCGUAGAUAUUGGAAGGAACACCAGAGGCGAAGGCGACUUGCUGGAUCGAUACUGACGCUGAGGUGCGAAAGCGUGGGGAGCAAACAGGAUUAGAUA
rnacentral:rRNA from 1 species